UACGAAGGGGGGCUAGCGUUGCUCGGAAUGACUGGGCGUAAAGGGCGCGUAGGCGGUUUGCACAGUCAGGCGUGAAAUUCCUGGGCUUAACCUGGGGGCUGCGCUUGAUACGUGUGGACUGGAGUGCGGAAGAGGGUCGUGGAAUUCCUAGUGUAGAGGUGAAAUUCGUAGAUAUUAGGAAGAACACCAGUGGCGAAGGCGGCUCACUGGCCCGGUACUGACGCUGAGGUGCGAAAGCGUGGGGAGCAAACAGG
rnacentral:rRNA from 1 species